UCAUUUAUUUGGCUCUGCAGCCUGGAGCCUAAGGACACCGUUCAUUAGGAAGCAGGAACUUUACCUAAGGGUUGUUUGUACUGGUCUUUCUUGCCAGAAUGAACUGUUCAUUAGCAUCUGAGAGAGAUCCUCUCUCUCUCUCUCUCCAGAUAAAGGGUUUAAAAUAGAACUUGUUGAUUGGGGUUGGGGUAAGAGAAGAGAAAGAAGUGUUCAGUAGAAUCUGCUAAGCCCCUUUGAUGAAGGCUGAGGUGCAAAGAAGCCCGCCCAGCAGAGAUAAAUCCCGAAUCACUGCCUGACUAACUUGGUUUUAUCACGAAAAUGGCAAAUUACCUUGGCCCUGUGUAUGGUCCAGUUAUUUGGGUUUACUUAAUGAUGUAAUUGGAUCAACUAAGUGGUAAUCCAAUUGCUAAUGCAAGCUAUCACCUGUACCUCCAUUGGAUCGUUACUUCACCUAACCAACUUCAACCAGCCCAAGGAUUUUUCCUGCACUGUGGAAACAUCUAGAGGUGAGUAGAAAAUGGAGAGUUCUAGAAUUUGGAAUGCCAAAGGUUUGGAGAAUGUAGCAGUGAUGCAGCACCUCCUUGCUUGUCUGACUCUGUGUGAUAGUAUAGCGAUUUCUUGCUUUUUAAUGGAAAAUUUGGGUUUAAUAAUAUUUUACACUUGAUUAUUCCCUUUCAUUGUAGAGCUGUUAUCAGUAAUGGCAUGGUCCUGUUAACAUGUUUCUUUGUUUCUCUUUUUACUGAAAUUCUCCAGAAAGUAUUUUGGAGAGUUGAAAAUGUAUGUAGCCUAGAAACUAUAGUACAAAAACUGUAAAAAUAAAAAUAAAUUAACCAAAAAUAAACUUUCUUUCCAGAUGGAGAUUUUUGUAGUCUGGGAUGAAAUGAACAGGUUUAUGUAAUUGAUUAGUAACAGGAAGGCUGAAAAACAAAUGCUAAGCUACAUGAAGGGUGCUCCUGGUGACACUGGCAAUGCAGAUUUGACGAACACCUUCCCAAAGGGUAGAAGCAACCCACUGCUGCAAAUCAGAAAAUCAACUUUGUCCUGGAGGUUCCUCUUCAUUGAGACUAGAAACUCAGGAGCUUUCCUCAUUCUUUUAUCAAGAAGAAAAUGACCAACAGGAGAAUGAUGUGAAAUUUGCUGAGACCUGAAUGAAAUGCAAGAAAAUACGAUUAUGAAAUGGUCUACCUAAUUAAUAAUGUUGCUAAAUUGAACUUCAGUGUCUGGUUGACAGCUGACUUAAUAUAACCUAAAUAGGAAGACAACAAAGCUCAUCUAGGAAAACUCAUUUUAAAGUUUAUUAAUGCUGUUGUCCGUACGCCUGCUGGCAGAUCAUUUUAUUUUCAGUGAAAGAGUCCUACAGAACCCCAUUAUAGGCCAUAUAACCUAUAUUAUGGUCCUUCUGUGUUGAGUGGGAGUGACACACAGUCCAUCCCCAUCUGGAAACAUCAUUUGAUGCAUGCUACGACUGAUUAGAUGGAACAACCUCUUUCUACAUAAUGAAGUUUACUGCAGAGAAAUUUACAGGGAAAAUAUUCGGUAAACACUAAGAUACCAAAUAUUUGCAUCUCUAUCAAUGAUCAUAUGGUCUCUCUCUCUCAAAUCCUAUAAUUGUACAAUUUAACAUAGCUGUAAACAUAGUGUGUGCAUAUGGUUUUGUGUUUUUGCUUUCUUCACCUAACAUAUCGCAUGCAUGUUUCCAUAAUGGAAUACACAAUACAAUUUUAAAGCCCACAGACGGUUUAACAUAUUGAUGUAUUUAGCGAAUAUUUUAAUACCACUUCUCUGUGCUCAAGCUAAUAUCCUAACAUCUGCCAAUUGGAAGUAAUUUUUAACUGAAUUAAAUAUGUAUGUACUUGUUUCCCAGGACACAGAAGCCUAAAAGAUUAAAGAUAUGGUGGUUAUACAUCUCCCUAGGAAGAGCCAUAGGCCUUGGGUCCCACCAAGGUAAUUCUGGACCCUAGUUCCAGGUCCCUUUCUUGUGAUGAUAGAAUUCUCUUGAGGCUUUGCACAUGUUCUUGGAGAGCCAUUGUCAUUUUCCUCUUUGCCCCCAUAUGGCUCUCCAGCUGCUACAUAUUGAGAAUGCUUAGUGUCUAUCACCCUUGACUGCCUUC
rnacentral:lncRNA from 13 species